AUACGGAGGGGGCAAGCGUUAUUGGGAAUCACUGGGCGUAAAGGACGCGUAGGCGGGUUGGCAAGUCAGAUGAGAAAUCCUACAGCUUAACUGUAGAACUGCAUUUGAAACUGCUAACCUAGAGUAUGGGAGGGGGAGAUGGAAUUAGUGGUGUAGGGGUAAAAUCCGUAGAUAUCACUAGGAAUACCGAAAGCGAAGGCGAUCUCCUGGAACAUAACUGACGCUAAGGCGUGAAAGCGUGGGGAGCAAACAGGAUUAGAGACCCGUGUAGUCC
rnacentral:rRNA from 1 species